CGGACGGGUGAGUAACGCGUGAGAAUCUGGCUUCAGGUCUGGGACAACCACUGGAAACGGUGGCUAAUACCGGAUGUGCCGAGAGGUGAAAGGUUAACUGCCUGAAGAUGAGCUCGCGUCUGAUUAGCUAGUUGGAAGUGUAAUGGACUCCCAAGGCGACGAUCAGUAGCUGGUCUGAGAGGACGAUCAGCCACACUGGGACUGAGACACGGCCCAGACUCCUACGGGAGGCAGCAGUGGGGAAUUUUCCGUAAUGGGCGAAAGCCUGACGGAGCAAUACCGCGUGAGGGAGGAAGGCUCUUGGGUCGUAAACCUCUUUUCUCAGGGAAGAACAAAAUGACGGUACCUGAGGAAUAAGCAUCGGCUAACUCCGUGCCAGCAGCCGCGGUAAUACGGAGGAUGCAAGCGUUAUCCGGAAUGAUUGGGCGUAAAGCGUCCGCAGGUGGCUAUGUAAGUCUGCUGUUAAAGAGUCUAGCUCAACUAGAUAAGAGCAGUGGAAACUACAAGGCUAGAGUACGUUCGGGGCAGAGGGAAUUCCUGGUGUAGCGGUGAAAUGCGUAGAGAUCAGGAAGAACACCGGUGGCGAAGGCGCUCUGCUAGGCCGUAACUGACACUGAGGGACGAAAGCUAGGGGAGCGAAUGGGAUUAGAUACCCCAGUAGUC
rnacentral:rRNA from 1 species